rnacentral:rRNA from 1 species
UGGGGAAUUUUGGACAAUGGGCAAAAGCCUGAUCCAGCAAUGCCGCGUGUGUGAAGAAGGCCUUCGGGUUGUAAAGCACUUUUGUCCGGAAAGAAAUCCUUGGCUCUAAUACAGUCGGGGGAUGACGGUACCGGAAGAAUAAGCACCGGCUAACUACGUGCCAGCAGCCGCGGUAAUACGUAGGGUGCAAGCGUUAAUCGGAAUUACUGGGCGUAAAGCGUGCGCAGGCGGUUUGCUAAGACCGAUGUGAAAUCCCCGGGCUCAACCUGGGAACUGCAUUGGUGACUGGCAGGCUAGAGUAUGGCAGAGGGGGGUAGAAUUCCACGUGUAGCAGUGAAAUGCGUAGAGAUGUGGAGGAAUACCGAUGGCGAAGGCAGCCCCCUGGGCCAAUACUGACGCUCAUGCACGAAAGCGUGGGGAGCAAACAGGAUUAGAUACCCUGGUAGUCCACGCCCUAAAACGAUGUCAACUAGUUGUUGGGGAUUCAUUUCCUUAGUAACGUAGCUAACGCGUGAAGUUGA